AAGCAUGUUUCCAAGGUCUGUGGCUGAUAGUGUCCACGGUAUCUCCAACUGCAUGCGAGAGCAACCUGGAGAGACUUUGACAGCACAGGUCACCAGUACCUGCAGCUGCCACUCGACUUUCCUAUAAAC
rnacentral:snoRNA from 10 species